AUUGACGGGGGCCCGCACAAGCGGUGGAGCAUGUGGUUUAAUUCGAUGCAACGCGAAGAACCUUACCUGGUCUUGACAUCCACAGAACUUUCCAGAGAUGGAUUGGUGCCUUCGGGAACUGUGAGACAGGUGCUGCAUGGCUGUCGUCAGCUCGUGUUGUGAAAUGUUGGGUUAAGUCCCGCAACGAGCGCAACCCUUAUCCUUUGUUGCCAGCGGUCCGGCCGGGAACUCAAAGGAGACUGCCAGUGAUAAACUGGAGGAAGGUGGGGAUGACGUCAAGUCAUCAUGGCCCUUACGACCAGGGCUACACACGUGCUACAAUGGCGCAUACAAAGAGAAGCGACCUCGCGAGAGCAAGCGGACCUCAUAAAGUGCGUCGUAGUCCGGAUUGGAGUCUGCAACUCGACUCCAUGAAGUCGGAAUCGCUAGUAAUCGUGGAUCAGAAUGCCACGGUGAAUACGUUCCCGGGCCUUGUACACACCGCCCGUCACACCAUGGGAGUGGGUUGCAAAAGAAGUAGGUAGCUUAACCUUCGGGAGGGCGCUUACCACUUUGUGAUUCAUGACUGGGGUGAAGUCGUAACAAGGUAACCGUAGGGGAACCUGCGGUUGGAUCAC
rnacentral:rRNA from 1 species